CCUACGGGCGGCAGCAGUGGGGAAUAUUGGACAAUGGGGGGAACCCUGAUCCAGCCAUGCCGCGUGUGUGAAGAAGGCCCUCGGGUUGUAAAGCACUUUCAGUGAGGAAGAACGCCUGGUGGUUAAUACCCAUCAGGAAAGACAUCACUCACAGAAGAAGCACCGGCUAACUCCGUGCCAGCAGCCGCGGUAAUACGGAGGGUGCGAGCGUUAAUCGGAAUUACUGGGCGUAAAGCGCGCGUAGGUGGCUUGAUAAGCCGGUUGUGAAAGCCCCGGGCUCAACCUGGGAACGGCAUCCGGAACUGUCAAGCUAGAGUGCAGGAGAGGAAGGUAGAAUUCCCUGUGUAGCGGUGAAAUGCGUAGAGAUCGGGAGGAAUACCAGUGGCGAAGGCGGCCUUCUGGACUGACACUGACACUGAGGUGCGAAAGCGUGGGUAGCAAACAGGAUUAGAUACCCUAGUAGUC
rnacentral:rRNA from 1 species